rnacentral:rRNA from 1 species
AUGAACGCUGGCGGCGUGCCUAAUACGUGCAAGUCGAGCGAACGGACGAGAAGCUUGCUUCUCUGAUGUUAGCGGCGGACGGGUGAGUAACACGUGGAUAACCUACCUAUAAGACUGGGAUAACUUCGGGAAACCGUAGCUAAUACCGGAUAAUAUUUUGAACCGCAUGGUUCAAAAGUGAAAGACGGUCUUGCUGUCACUUAUAGAUGGAUCCGCGCUGCAUUAGCUAGUUGGUAAGGUAACGGCUUACCAAGGCAACGAUGCAUAGCCGACCUGAGAGGGUGAUCGGCCACACUGGAACUGAGACACGGUCCAGACUCCUACGGGAGGCAGCAGUAGGGAAUCUUCCGCAAUGGGCGAAAGCCUGACGGAGCAACGCCGCGUGAGUGAUGAAGGUCUUCGGAUCGUAAAACUCUGUUAUUAGGGAAGAACAUAUGUGUAAGUAACUGUGCACAUCUUGACGGUACCUAAUCAGAAAGCCACGGCUAACUACGUG